AGCACAGCUACGGCGCACAUGGUGGAUUCAUCAAAAGGCAUACGGUUAAAGAGAACUUCAAGGAUUUAGCUCCUGGUUUAAGUGGAGAAUAAGAUGACACCACUGUGGUCGGGUUAAUAUCAAAUGGUGAUGAGUCUGCAGGGAGCCUGCAGGGAGAAGGUGGCUGAACUCUCAGAAUGGUGCAUCAAUAACAACAUGGCACUCAAUACCUCCAAAACAAAGGAGCUUAACAUCAAUUUUUCAGAAACCGAAAGAAGAAACAUCCCCUAUAUACACUGGAGGAAAAAUGGUUUGGGGUGACCAGUUUUAAAUUUCUUGGCACACACAUCCCCCAAGACCU